CUGUAUCAGGAAAGGUAGUCCUGGACUGCCUUAGGAUUGAGACAGACUCCUGUUAAUCUGAAUAAGCUAUUUUAACCUGUCAUCUCAUCUGCUAUUGCCUGGAUACUUGGUUAUUCGAGAAAAUUCUAAAAAAUGGCGGGAUUUUAGAAGACUUGCUAUGCAAGAAUCGAAUGUGAAAACGAAAUGGAGGCUGACUUCCGUAAUUAUCUGCUGGAGCUAUUCCAAGUUCAACAAGGAUAAUGCUGGAUCCGAGAUGCGUUACGCCUGUAAGGGACUUUUACAAAUGAUUGUUGGUUCUUCAGAAAAUCCAGUCCGGGAUGAUCCCAAGUAAUCGAAUUUAACAUGGAAUUGCUGAAGGUUGCAAAGAAUGAAAGAUUACAUUAAAUUUCACUUCUGUGACAUUCUCGGGAUAAUCAGUCUUGAAAAUAUCAGGUUUUUGAAAAAUUAGGAUAUGAUAAUACAAUUACGGUUAUUAAAUUUCUGAUUUCAGAAGAUCAAUAUCUGUGGUCAAGAAAUUUUGUCUAUACGUUUUAUGUCAAUACCUUCAAAAUUCAAAGUGUACAUCAUCGAUAGAGUUGAAAAUCGUAUGGAGAUAUUGAUGGCUUUUAUAAGGAAAAUUAUAUUUAGCAGCAAUGCCAUUCAAAGUGAACUUUGUAGGGAUGCAGAUAAAUCUGAUAUAGUUCCCGAAAGAAUUUAAGGCCAUCCUCCGAAACUGAAGGACCUUUGCACAAGCCAGGCGGUCAUGGAUGAUGCACUGGUGCUCCACCAAUCUGCUCAUUUCAUGCGUGCGACGUCCAUAACCGUGUCGAAUACCCGAGUGGCUGUCAUCGUCACCAAUAAUCAACAUGCGCGAUGAUUCCCUGUAGUGCUUCUUGCAGCAUACAGUGCACCCACGAAUUUGGACAAGGCUCUAUGCAUUGGAAAGCGUACUCUAUGAAAGUACUCCAGAAGUGACCGC